rnacentral:rRNA from 1 species
GAUGAACGCUAGCUACAGGCUUAACACAUGCAAGUCGAGGGGAAACGACAUCGAAAGCUUGCUUUUGAUGGGCGUCGACCGGCGCACGGGUGAGUAACGCGUAUCCAACCUGCCCACCACUUGGGGAUAACCUUGCGAAAGUAAGACUAAUACCCAAUGAUAUCCCACGAAGACAUCUGAAUGGGAUUAAAGAUUUAUCGGUGAUGGAUGGGGAUGCGUCUGAUUAGCUUGUUGGCGGGGUAACGGCCCACCAAGGCAACGAUCAGUAGGGGUUCUGAGAGGAAGGUCCCCCACAUGGGAACUGAGACACGGUCCAAACUCCUACGGGAGGCAGCAGUGAGGAAUAUUGGUCAAUGGGCGAGAGCCUGAACCAGCCAAGUAGCGUGCAGGAAGACGGCCCUAUGGGUUGUAAACUGCUUUUAUAAGGGAAUAAAGUGGGUCACGUGUGACUUUUUGCAUGUACCUUAUGAAUAAGGACCGGCUAAGUCCGUG